rnacentral:rRNA from 1 species
UGGGGAAUAUUGCGCAAUGGGGGCAACCCUGACGCAGCAAUACCGCGUGAGUGAAGAAGGUUUUCGGAUCGUAAAGCUCUGUUAUUGGGGAAGAAAAAAAGACGGUACCCAAGAAGAAAGUUCCGGCUAACUACGUGCCAGCAGCCGCGGUAAUACGUAGGUUGCAAGCGUUGUCCGGAUUUACUGGGUGUAAAGGGCGUGUAGGCGGAGAUGCAAGUUGGGAGUGAAAUACCGGGGCUCAACCCCGGAACUGCUUUCAAAACUGUAUCCCUUGAGUGUCGGAGAGGCAAGCGGAAUUCCUAGUGUAGCGGUGAAAUGCGUAGAUAUUAGGAGGAACACCAGUGGCGAAGGCGGCUUGCUGGACGAUAACUGACGCUGAGGCGCGAAAGCGUGGGGAGCAAACAGG